rnacentral:piRNA from 1 species
UAGCCUUUAAUACUUGGACUUUUGAGGACA